GUGCUCGUUUUGGUAGCACACAUACUAAAAUGGGAAUGAAUCAAAAGAAGAUUAGCAGGGUCCCUGCGCAAAGAUGAGACAUAAAUCUCUGAAGCAUCCCAUACUUUU
rnacentral:snRNA from 1 species